CUAGUAAUCGCGGAUCAGAAUGCCGCGGUGAAUACGUUCCCGGGUCUUGUACACACCGCCCGUCACACCAUGGGAGUCGGAAAUGCCCGAAGUCUGUGACCCAACCGUAAGGAGGGAGCAGCCGAAGGCAGGUCGGAUGACUGGGGUGAAGUCGUAACAAGGUAUC
rnacentral:rRNA from 1 species